rnacentral:rRNA from 1 species
GUAGCAAAAUAAUUUGUUUUUUAAUUGAAAACGGGUAUGAACGGUUAAACAAGUAUUUUUAUUUUUAUUUAAAUAAAUAAAAUUUUAAUUUAAGUAAAAAUACUUAAAUAAUUAAAAGGGACGAUAAGACCCUAGAAUCUUUAUUUUUAAAUUUUUAAAAGAAGUAAAGAUUAGAGUAAAAUUAAUUAUUAAUUUGGUUGGGGCAGUCAUUUUAAUUAAUUUAAAAUAAAAAUUACUUGAAUAAAAGGUUUUAUGGUCCUUUAAAUAAGGAUAGUUAGUUUUAGUUACUCUAGGGAUAACAGCGUAAUAUUUUCAGAAAGGUCUUAUUAAUGAAAAUGAUUGCGACCUCGAUGUUGAAUUAAAAAAUCUUUACAAGGUAUAAUGUGUAUAAGAAAGUUUGUUCAACUUUUAAAAUUUU